rnacentral:rRNA from 1 species
AGCGAACGCUGGCGGCAGGCUUAACACAUGCAAGUCGAGCGGGCAUCUUCGGGUGUCAGCGGCGGACGGGUGAGUAACGCGUGGGAACGUGCCUUCUGGUUCGGAAUAACUCAGGGAAACUUGAGCUAAUACCGGAUACGCCCUUUUGGGGAAAGGUUUACUGCCGGAAGAUCGGCCCGCGUCUGAUUAGCUGGUGGAUGGGGUAACGGCCUACCAAGGCGACGAUCAGGAGCUGGUCUGAGAGGAUGAUCAGGCACACUGGGACUGAGACACGGCCCAGACUCCUACGGGAGGCAGCAGUGGGGAAUAUUGGACAAUGGGCGCAAGCCUGAUCCAGCCAUGCCGCGUGAGUGAUGAAGGCCUUAGGGUUGUAAAGCUCUUUUAUCCGGGACGAUAAUGACGGUACCGGAGGAAUAAGCCCCGGCUAACUUCGUGCCAGCCGCCGCCGUAA